UUUUUUUUAAGGUUUAGAUAGACUUUAUUGUUACAAGGAGGGCCCUACCAGGCAGGGCCUUAUAAACCAAUAUAUGUGGUCCCAGAAUAUCACCGUGGAGAAAUCAAGAGGUCAUGAUUGCAGAAGAGGUCACUGCAAUUGAAGGGCAUGAUCCAGGAAAGGCCGGCCAGGAAUGUAGCAGACAUGAUCAGGACAGGACGGGGGUGGUCAGGUGACAGGGUGAGGGACAGGCCAGCCCCCUUCACUCCCACUUCUUGUAGUUCUCCAGAUGUGACAGGACCCAGCCCCAUGGCAGAGAUUGGAAGAGCACAAGU